UGAUGAUUAAUCAUCAAAGGUUAUACGCGUGUUUCGUCCCAAGCACAAGUCCUUCUUUCACAUAUCCCUUUUGUCAUAUGUCUUCUUGAUGCAAAGAGGCUCAGCUUGCUACUGAUGGAUUGCAGCUUACCAAAUUUGAUUUGGUUUGGUACAAUGGAUGUUUGGUAUUGAUGUUGAAAGAAUACUUCACUUUCUGUAAUUUCUGAUGUUCAGAUUAUACCGAAUGAAUGCUACCAGAUUCCAUAUUUGUUCUAGAGAUAUUAUUGAUCUUUUCAUGCACCAAUUGUUCAAGUAGUGUCUUUCUGCUAAAAGCUUUAUAUUGCCCUGUGUGUCCUUUUGUCCGUACCUUUUUCCAGUAAUUUUCUCUGUUAACCUUGGGCCAGCUCAUUUGUGUGUGCUUCAUGUAUAUGCUCAUGCUUUUGAUGCUGCUGGACUUUGGAAUGCAUCCGCACAGUAACUUUCUGGGUAUGCUUGCAUUCAGGUUGUCAUUAGUUACCAGAUGGUACAUCAGUGUCUCCACUCUAGAGAUGAAUAUAAUACGCCAAAACACAGAAAUUAUUCCGUUCAAAGUGAAUGACACGGCGUAAAUCAAACAUGCGCUGAGCCUACUAAUGCGACUACCAGUACUGUUGCACUACUAGAACCCAAUGGCAUGAUGGUGCAGCAAAUAUGGUUUUUUAUUAGAUAGUUUUCUGCACUGUAUAUGUGAUGAAUUCACAAAUUUAUGAUUUUGAGGUACUGGUGAAGGUAGAUUCAAAUGAGUGAUGCAAAUUCAGAAUUGCAUAGGUAGUGCCUACGACUGACUAAGGGUACAUGAGUUGGAAGAAAGUCCAAGCAGAAGGAACUCCUGCAGAUGCCCAGGCUGCUACUGUGCCUAUCUUAAGGGUGAUCUUGACCUGAUUUUGCUUUCGAACUGAAUUGUGGUAAUCAAGCAGGGAGACGAGACGCUGUUGAGCUGUUUUUCGGUAGAUUUGAGCUACCUAGAGUUGAGCUAGGCACCAGACGAGCAGAAGCACAAACGUAGGAGGUAUCCAACAAUGGCAACCGCAACGCCAUUCCACUUAAACCUGGAGACCAG